AUAACUGUCACACAGGAGAUCUAACUGUAGCGAUCCAGCCCUUCAGUAUCCAUAUGAGCAUGAGUUUUCCUCACCUUUUCCCUCUUACUAUUAAUAGAAGAUUAAGGAUUUGUCUGGCAUUAUACAUCACGUUUAUGUAAUUUCUGGAGCGUCACAAGAGAACUUUUCCAGAAGAAGUCAGGAACCAAUCUGAACAAACUAGCUGUUAAUGGAGAGAUGGAGGUAUGUCUUGACGUCUUUAGUUGUUCCCACCAGCCCUGUGUUCGCUAAGUGACUGUAACAUUCAGUGUUCAAAAGCUAUGAAAAAAGAUUAAAAACAUUUAGAAAGAUAAAAAUAAACUUUACUGUUAUAUUUUGAGAAAUUAAGUCAUAACCGUAAAUUACUACUUUAUUUCUCACACAUUUCUCAAAACGGAUAAAUAUCUCUAAUAUGUCUUAUAAUUGUGCCUUUAUGUCUCACAAAUACUUUAAAAACUUUAAGAAUGAUUUAAUCACGUAUUAUUUGUAUUUAUUUAUAUAUAUUUACAUUGCCAUUCAAAGGUUGGAGGUCAGUAUUUUUUUUUUAAGAAAUAAUAUGUGACCCUGGACCACAAAACCAGUCAUAGUCAAGUAGCACAGGUAUACUUGUAGCAAUAGCCAAAAAUACAUUGUAUGGAUCAAAAUUAUUGAUUUUUCUUUUAUGCCAAAAAUCAUUAGGAUAUUAAGUAAAGAUUAUAUUCUAAGAAGAUAUUUUAUAAAUUUCCUACCGUAAAUAUAUCAAAACUUCAUUUUUGAUUAGUAAUAUGCAUUGCUAAGGACUUCAUUUAAUCAACUUUAAAGGCAAUUUUCUCCACAUUUAGAUUUUUUUUUGCACCCUCAGAUUCCAGAUUUUCAAAUAGUUGCAUCUCCGUCAAAUAUUAUCCUAUCCUAACAAACAUACAUCAAUCGAAAGCUUA